AGCUGGGAGUCACAACUCAAGAGACUAUUCCACACCAAAGACUGGACAAAUGGUUUCAUGAAAUGUUUCCCAGCUUUGUUAGGCUGAUACCGAGAAACAGCUGCUCUUCACUUCUCCCAACUGAAAACUCCAGUUAUUAUCAUUAAAACACCACCCCACUAAAACCUGCAGAAGAUCCACCCGCUCUGAGGAGCUACUUCCAUUAAUCCCAGAUCUACCCUGAGUUACCGCAUGGCUGGAUCCUGGAGAGCAUGAUCCCAUUGCAAAGGGAAAACUUGUUGAGUCCUAACAGAUGUUUUGGAGUUUCCAGCAUGAAAGGCUAUAGAGGGAUACUCUUGGACAGCCUAGCUCUGCCACAGGUUCCCUAGCACUCAAGAAAAAUAUUGACUUUCACAGGAGUCACAUGUCCAACCCAGGAGAAAAAGAUAUGAUCUAGAACCACCAGGGGCCAGAAAUUAGAUCUGCUUUUUUCUUGGCUGCAUCCAGAGAAAGUUACUACAGCUUUGCUAAAAUGGUGUGAACACGGAUGAUGGGCUUCUAGAAUCACAUAAGAGAAGUAGGUCAAUGGCUUACAACUGCUGGCCAGUGAUUAUUCUUUCACGAGUGCCCGGG
rnacentral:antisense_RNA from 1 species